CGGACGGGUGAGUAACACGUGGAUAACCUACCUAUAAGACUUGGAUAACUUCGGGAAACCGGAGCUAAUACCGGAUAAUAUAUUGAACCGCAUGGUUCAAUAGUGAAAGACGGUUUUGCUGUCACUUAUAGAUGGAUCCGCGCCGCAUUAGCUAGUUGGUAAGGUAACGGCUUACCAAGGCAACGAUGCGUAGCCGACCUGAGAGGGUGAUCGGCCACACUGGAACUGAGACACGGUCCAG
rnacentral:rRNA from 1 species